rnacentral:rRNA from 1 species
AUACGUAGGGAGCGAGCGUUGUCCGGAAUUACUGGGCGUAAAGGGCGCGUAGGCGGCGCUUCAAGUCGUCUGUCAAAUGGGAGGGCUUAACCCUUUUUCGCUGACGAAACUGGAGAGCUUGAGAAGCAGAGAGGCAAACAGAAUUCCUGGUGUAGCGGUGAAAUGCGUAGAUAUCAGGAAGAAUACCAGUGGCGAAGGCGGUUUGCUGGCUGCAUACUGACGCUGAAGCGCGAAAGCCAGGGGAGCAAACGGGAUUAGAUACCCCGGUAGUCCUGGCAGUAAACGAUGUAUGCUGGGUGUGAGACUAGCGAUAGUUUCGUGCCGAAGUUAACGCGAUAAGCAUACCGCCUGGGGAGUACGGUCGCAAGAUUGAAACUCAAAGGAAUUGGCGGGG